UGGGGAAUAUUGCACAAUGGGCGCAAGCCUGAUGCAGCCAUGCCGCGUGUGUGAAGAAGGCCUUCGGGUUGUAAAGCACUUUCAGCGAGGAGGAAGGUGGUGAACUUAAUACGUUCAUCAAUUGACGUUACUCGCAGAAGAAGCACCGGCUAACUCCGUGCCAGCAGCCGCGGUAAUACGGAGGGUGCAAGCGUUAAUCGGAAUUACUGGGCGUAAAGCGCACGCAGGCGGUUUGUUAAGUCAGAUGUGAAAUCCCCGGGCUCAACCUGGGAACUGCAUUUGAAACUGGCAAGCUAGAGUCUCGUAGAGGGGGGUAGAAAUUCCAGGUGUAGCGGUGAAAUGCGUAGAGAUCUGGAGGAAUACCGGUGGCGAAGGCGGCCCCCUGGACGAAGACUGACGCUCAGGUGCGAAAGCGUGGGGAGCAAAACAGGAUUAGGUACCCUGGUAGUCCACGCUGUAAACGAUGUCGAUUUGGAGGUUGUGCCCUUGAGGCGUGGCUUCCGGAGCUAAACGCGUUAAAAUCGACCGCCUGGGGAGUACGGCCGCAAGGUUAAAAACUUAAAUGAAUUGACGGGGUCAUAGCUGUUUCCU
rnacentral:rRNA from 1 species